CAUCACUCAAGUGCUCUCCAAAAUCUCUCUUCCAAACUUACUCAAAUCUUCACAUCUCUCCUGUCACUCCCUCCCCACCUCAGUUAUGUAGAUCGUCAACCUCUCUCGAUUCUCAACUCUCUUCUUUGCCUUGACGCCCCAGGAACCAGGGCACUUAACAUGAGUCUUACGUUCCUCACCUGGAAGUUGAGAGGGUUGCCCUGGCUAAUCCUCAAGGACCCGGCCAGCCAGAGGUCUGAAGCCAGGAGAAACGUGGUGCGGGUUAAGGUUGUGGCGCCAGCUUCCACACGGUUCGUGUGCACAGUGAAGCCCAUGAGAAGUGUUCUGUUUGGAGAAGCAGCUCUGACAACUGGGGGCAAUGCAGUCAUCCGCAAAGGAAGCAGCCUUCGAAAGUGCUCCCAGCCUGUUGUCCCAAGAGGAAGGAAGGCGUGAGCUCGUUUCUGAGGGCAGAUCCGCCCUGAAGGAGCACUAACUAAUUUUCCCUUUGCCCCAGUUCCUUGAACUCGUUCUCUCUCUUUAUUGUGCAUAUUUUUCUAAACACCUCAAAUCCUUUUAUGGAAUAAAGUUAGGAUAUAAAUGUGUUCAUUUUUAAAAAAAUCCUGAAAAGUGAGUUGCUUCAAACUACCAUAGAACUACCAUAUGACCUAGCGAUGCCACUUCUGGGCAUACACGCCAAAGAAUUGAAAGCAGAGACUCGAACAGAUUUUGGUACACCCAUGUUCAAAGCAGCAUCAUUCACGAUGGCCAAAAUGUGGAAACAACCCAAGCGUCCAUCAACAGAUGAAUGAUAAACAAAAUGUGAUACACACACUGUAGUAUACUAUUCAGACGUAAAAAGGAAUGAAAUUUUGAAACAUGCUAAAACUUGGAAGGACCUUGAAAACAUUAUGCCAGCAAUAAGCCAGACACAGAAGGGGAAAUAUUGUAUGAUUCCAUUCAUAGGAGGUACCAAGAAUAGGCCAAUUCAUAGAGACAGAAAGUGGAAUAGAGGUUACCAGGGGCUGGGGGAAGGGAGAAGAAGGGGUUAUCAUUUAACAGACAGAGAGUUUUUGUUGGAGAUGAUGAAAAAGUUUUGCGUGUAGAUAGUGACGAUGGUUACAUAACUUUGGGAAUGUGUUUAAUGCCACUGAAUUGUACACUUAUGAAGGGUUAAAAUGAUAAAUAUUGUGUUAUAUAUAUUUUACCACAAUAAAAAUAGUUUUUUAUGGUGAAAAAGUUAUAUUUGGAAUUGGUCAGCUGGACUCAGUUCAGAGGAUCCCAGCUCUGUUGGCAACAUCCAGAGCAUCAGAGUCAGGCCAGUGGCACGUAUACCUUCUCUCCGUCCGGCCGGAUUGGGGUGUGGACCUUGGCCGCGUCAACGUCAUGGAGCGUCUUCACAGCCUGUUCGAUCAGCGUUUCUGGGACUUGACAUCUA
rnacentral:lncRNA from 1 species